rfam:Populus trichocarpa isolate Nisqually-1 chromosome 15, whole genome shotgun sequence.
ACGACCUUACUUGAACAGGAUCUGUUCUAUAGGAUCGUACCUCUGUAUCCUUAAUCACUAAGGAGUCAGGAAUCCAAACCUGGUUGAGGAACCAUGACCGCCUUAUCAUAGCGGGAGUGAUGGUUUGAUGGCCCUCGUGAUCAUCAUGGCUGUAGAGGAUCGUUUCCUUGCCAUUGACCUGGCAGAGAUUCGAGGGAGAUGGGUGCUCUUUUGAUCUGUU